GCCAGGUGUGGUGGUGCAGGCCUGUAAUCCCAGUGACCUGGGAAGCUGAGGCAGGAGGAUUGCGAGUUCAAAGCCGGCCUCAGCAAAAAGUGAGGAGCUAAGCAACUUAGUGAGACUCUGUCUCUA
rnacentral:sRNA from 1 species